GAUGGAAUAAAGUUAAAUUCAAUAAAGACAAAUCGAUCAUGACUCUAAUGAUGAUCAUCUCUAUAUUAAACCUUUAAACUUGUAUGCAUACAUAAUUAACAUCAUAAUUAAAGUAUAUCAAGUUGAUUCAUGCAUUAACCACUAUGCGAAUAUAUAAAUCACGUGGAUUUGGUGGGAAAUAAUUUGUGAUUACUUGAUCAUGAUCAACUAGUUAUGUUCUCAUGGGUUAAAAGUGGGGUACUUUGAUCAUGAAAUGCUUGAAUAUAUUCAGUCCAAAAGAAGAAAGCAAUAAUGCUGAGUUCAUAAUGGAGGAGGUAAUGGGAGGGGGGGUCUGUUGUAUUCUUCCCCUCAAAGAAAAGGUAAAAAGAGAGAAAACAAAGGGAAAUAACUCAUUGGGUAUAUAAAAGAAGAGGAAAAGGGGUAAGAAGACAAAUAAAGUGCAAAGCCAAACUUGGAAGACAAGGUAGAAUCCUUGCCCAGCAUGCCUGCAUGUAACCCC
rnacentral:lncRNA from 1 species